rnacentral:ncRNA from 1 species
UGAGAUAGAGGUUGCGUGACCUAUGAGUAGGCUGUCUGAUGCGCCGGAAGCAGGGGAGGAUAGCUCAAAGGAGAUCAUGCCGAAAGGGCAGACGGAUUUCGGACGGAUGUUUCUUGGGCGCAGCGUGAAGAAUGCUGCGACUGUCAUCGAAUACGAUGGAGCGCUAUCA